AAUAGUUAUUUUACUAUUCACAAUUUGUAAAAUAGUUACUUUUCGCUGUUUGAUUGAUACACUUAGAUCUGUAUAACAUUUUUAGUGUUAGAUUACAUAUAUCUGGACAUUAAAAGUGUUGUACUAAUUUAAGUGUACAAAUAAAACAGUAAAAAUAACUAUUCUGAAUAGUAAAAUGAUUAUUUUCAAACUCAAUCUAUAAAUUUUGUCUCCUACUUGAUAGUACAUA
rnacentral:sRNA from 1 species